CGGCUCCGGGUGCGUCUGUAUGGUGAUGGGUCACUGUGUGUGCCUGGGCUCCGGGCCACAGCCUGGGUGUGCAGAUGUGGGGGCCGCGUGUGCAGAUGUGGGGCCGCGCGCUCGCCCGACCGGCGAGGGUGCGCCUGGAUCCGCGCCUCUGGGUCUGAACUCAGAGGGCGUGACGCCUGUGGGUGUUUCGGUGCCCGUGGGGCUGCCCCUGUGCCUGUGCCUGCGGCUGGGGCUGGUGUGUCUGCACACGCAGAGCGCAGCAGCGCCCCUGCCCGCCCCAGCUCUUCCCCGGGAGCCCAGCCGGAGGGGACCCAGGGUAAAGCCUCCCCUGGAAGGGAGCCGGGAGCCCCGCCCCCCAGGGAGCUAAUUAAGGGAGCCCUGGCGUCUGAAGCUGCGACGUGGGCAGGAGCCCGGUGCUGAGCCGCUGGCAUCGCUCCUGCAGUGGGAAGGCAGCAAGCGCCCCCAGCCCAGAAAACCUGGGCCCUCCUUUCCCGCUGACUCCUGGUGCGCCCACCCUCCCCACUGGCAGGGGUUCAAAGGGGACGUGAUCAGCGUUUGCCCAAGGGGGCUUUCUGGGCCCUGCCACAUGGGGGCCCCGGGCGUGCACACUUGAGGGUCAACAUGGGGGCUCUGGGGCCUGGGAGAUGCGGACUGAGGGCUUGGCAUCCUGCAGCAAAGAUGGGGUUUGGCCCGAACCUGGGACCCCGAGACCCCCGUGCCCCAGAGCCCUUUCCCGGGGGCCCCGCUACCAUCUCAUAGGUCUGGUGCUCCUGGAGCAGCUUCCGGAAGCCCUGGGGCAGCCAAAUGUCUUCCUCUUCCCCCUCCCCACAGAGCUUCAUCUGAGGGGGCGGAGGUGGCAGUGGCAGGAGCUUUGGGGCGGCUCCACGUGGCAGAGCCAUCGAGUCAAACUGCCACCUCGGCCAAAGGGCAGGGAGAGUCCAAAGCCCCCACCUCACUGCUGGCAUUUCUCACUGGCUUCACCGGACAUUUAAGAGCUCAGGGCUCCGUCUCCAUCUCUCCGUCCAGCCCUCACAUACUCCCUGCUGGCGUCAACUUCCCAAAACAUGGGUGCCAGCCUACCAUCCCGUCACUGCACAGUCCUCCUUGGCUCCCCGCUACCCCAGAAUGAAAGUUCUCAUCACACACAGGCUUCCUCUCCAGUGCCGGCCUCUCCUUCCCCACUCAGCUUCCCAAAUUAAAGUCACACCUCCUCCUCCUGGAUCUUCUUCCCAGGGACCCUCAGGAUGUGCUGUUGCACCACGAGGCACCUCCCAGUCUGCCCCACUCCCCUCAUCACAAUGGCCGGUGCCCGGUGCCCAGUGCCCCACCCCUCCCAGCCCUGCAUGCAAGCUGGUCUGAUCAGCUGAUUCAUACUAGAGUGAAAAUGGCUGAAAAGCCAGUAGCCGUGUGAAUUUUCUCUGGAAACAAAGCACUAUUUAUAUGGA